rnacentral:rRNA from 1 species
AUUGAACGCUGGCGGCAGGCUUAACACAUGCAAGUCGAGCGGAGAUGAGGUGCUUGCACCUUAUCUUAGCGGCGGACGGGUGAGUAAUGCUUAGGAAUCUGCCUAUUAGUGGGGGACAACAUUCCGAAAGGAAUGCUAAUACCGCAUACGUCCUACGGGAGAAAGCAGGGGACCUUCGGGCCUUGCGCUAAUAGAUGAGCAUAAGUCGGAUUAGCUAGUUGGUGGGGUAAAGGCCUACCAAGGCGACGAUCUGUAGCGGGUCUGAGAGGAUGAUCCGCCACACUGGGACUGAGACACGGCCCAGACUCCUACGGGAGGCAGCAGUGGGGAAUAUUGGACAAUGGGCGGAAGCCUGAUCCAGCCAUGCCGCGUGUGUGAAGAAGGCCUUUUGGUUGUAAAGCACUUUAAGCGAGGAGGAGGCUACUUAGAUUAAUACUCUAGGAUAGUGGACGUUACUCGCAGAAUAAGCACCGGCUAACUCUGUGCCAGCCGCCGCGGUAACAC